UGUUGCUCCACGACCACCUUGAACUCGCCACCUGGGAAUCUGUUUCCCUGCGCAGCUAAUCUCUCUGCUCACAGCCUGCUGUUCUCACCCGGCUUCCUAGCCUGCCAUCUCACUCUCACCGCUGCUGCCUGCAACCCAGGCUUCCCAUCUUAGGAGAAAAUCUGCACUGUGGUCAGCAAGGCUCGCAUGUACAGUGUCAUAUUAUAGGCGCGUGGUGUGGCACAUACCUAGAGCUUUCUUUCUCAUCUGACAUGACUAAAAUUGUACACCACGGAGCAGUUCAGAUUUCCUCAGCCCUGCAGCCUUGGGCUACCCCCACUGUCCCCUCCUGGAGUGCAUCGUGUAGGGACGGUGUAUAAACCAUUAUGUCUAGAGGAGACUUUUCACUGUCUGCCCUUCAGAGCCUGAUUUGUUUGGCUUAGCAUAUUCUCCAGUUUUGCCCAGGCACACACAAGAGUGUCUCUUUCUCUCAAAUCUGACUGUGUGAUAUGUACACAUCAGGAUUUCUUCGUUCAUUGACCAGUGGACAUUUGGGCUAUUUCCGCCUCUUGGCUACUACAGACAGUGCAGUGAUGGGCUUAUGAAUACAAAUAGCCCUUCGUGGCGCUGUUUGCAAUUAUUUGGGCGUAUGGAAUCAUGGGGU
rnacentral:lncRNA from 1 species